rnacentral:ncRNA from 17 species
AAGUCUGUUUCAGAAAACAGAAACCCAGGUCAAGUAAGUGUUCUCACUUACAAUAACACAGUUAAUGAUGGGGCAACUCAAAGUUAA